UGGGGAAUAUUGGACAAUGGGCGCAAGCCUGAUCCAGCCAUGCCGCGUGAGUGAUGAAGGCCAUAGGGUUGUAAAGCUCUUUCACCGGUGAAGAUAAUGACGGUAACCGGAGAAGAAGCCCCGGCUAACUUCGUGCCAGCAGCCGAGGUAAUACGAAGGGGGCUAGCGUUGUUCGGAUUUACUGGGCGUAAAGCGCACGUAGGCGGACUAUUAAGUCAGGGGUGAAAUCCCGGGGCUCAACCCCGGAACUGCCUUUGAUACUGGUAGUCUUGAGUUCGAGGGAGGUGAGUGGAAUUCCGAGUGUAGAGGUGAAAUUCGUAGAUAUUCGGAGGAACACCAGUGGCGAAGGCGGCUCACUGGCUCGAUACUGACGCUGAGGUGCGAAAGCGUGGGGAGCAAACAGG
rnacentral:rRNA from 1 species